AAGAACAAGAACUUUUAGAGUAUAGAGAAGGAUUUCCUGGAGGGCAGUCCAGGAGAAUAAUUUAAUCUUCAUCCUUCUUUCUUCACUUCACCCUAAGACGCCAAUACAAUCUAAACUGGAAAACCAACUUUAACACGUUUUUAACUACGAAUUACAAAUACAAAAUCCAAUAUUUUGAAGAUUAAGUUUUAAUAAAAAAAUUAAGUUGGAAGCAGAGUAGGAAACUUUCAAAUGUAAAGAAAAAUAAAAGAGAAACAGAUUGCCACUAGGAGGAAAGCCAAGAGAAACAAAGACUGAAAUAAAAAUAACUUGAGAAAAACAAAGUACACAAUCCUUUCCACAGAAAACUCCCCCUUCAUUCACUUUCUCCCAUAAGACACCAGUAACUGGCAUAAAUCUCUAUUGCUAGCUAUUUGGUAUUAGAAAAACAAAAUAAAACAGAAUGUGAAUAUUCAUCUGGGAGAAAAAAGGCUAUCUUUCUUUUUAAUUAUUCUAUCACUCACUAUAUGCAUUUUUAACAACCUUGGUGAUUACUUGAAAUAGAAUGCAUGUGGUAACAUAUUUUUUAAAAUAUUCUAAGCCUUAAGAAAAAACUAUCUCUGGAAGGUAGAAAGGGUGGAAAAAGAAAUAGACAAGAUUGAGUUUACCAGAGAGAAUCUCAUUGAGUAGGAAGAGCUAGGACAUGCCUUCCACUGGAAACAGAGUCUAAUAGGCUCUGAGCUUGGGAGUGUAGACAAGUCUUUUUGCUCUUAAGAGCAGGCGGCCAGAAGGAGGUAAGCAGACUCAAAACUGCAAUAGGGGCCAUAUGGCUGAUGGGAAGACCAAGUCCAAAUAAUAGCUUUCAGAAACAGAGAAAGUGGUCAAACUUCACUGAAGGACAGGAUCUGUCUGAAUACCCUACAGGUUUCAUCAGAAAGUGAUGAAGAGAAGAAAGAAAACUCUUGAUCUGUAUUCUGGGAAAGUUAUUUCAGCCAAUUUGAGUUAAACCUUAGUUUCUUUGAUACAAGGCAUCUGUGCUCUACAAACUUCUACAUUUCUAUCUUUUAACUUUCUUUUUGAUUCCUAGUAGAGUCGCUUUUGAAAAAUGCUCACCUUGUUGCUACUGGUGAAGAGGAAAUAAAUAAUUUCUUCCACUAACCCCCAAAUUUGGGGAAUCAGAAUAUUCCUUGAAUGCAGUCAGUGGUGAUAGCAUCAAUGGUCAGUUGUAUCAAGAAGGAAUAAAGACAUAUGUUUCUUCUGGAGGUGGGCAUGGGAAUUGCUGAUGAUGGAGUUUGGAACACACAACCCCCAAAUAUGGCACUGUAGCAUAUUAAAUACUUCAAGCCAAAGGAGUUUGAGAAAAUGGCAGAAGCGGGAAGGUCACUCUGACCUCCCAUAUCCCUCACCCUUUUCCCCUAAAACAGGUCAUAAAACCCUCAUGUGGGAGGUGCCCUCCCUAUAACCAGAGUAAAGGAGCAUCCUUAUCUCCAACGACAAAGGAAUGCUAAGAAGAAUCCAAAUCAACAGGCCUUGCCAAGUUUCCCGCAGCUUACUACUCCUGAGUGCACUUACCUCACACCCCUGAACCUAUCACAUUGCUACAUGACUACCCACUCUUCACAAACACAGCAGAAAAUACACAGGUCUAUAUCCUUGGGUCUUCAUUUCCUUAUGAAGGCUCCCAUGUCAUGUAAAACAUAUUAAAUAAACCUGUAUGCUUUUCUCCUGUUAAUUUGUCUCUGUCAGCAUAAUCUUCAGACCCAGCCAAGGACCCUAAGAGGGUUAGGGAAUACUUUUCUCCCCUACAUUGAUAUUUUCUUAGCUGAGCUUUUCCCUUAAAUCAGCACAUGUAUUCUUGAAAAUAGUAACACAGGUAAUAUAACAUUCACUAGUAGAAUUAGUUUUAAUAUCCACUUCAGGGAAUUAUGGGCUAUUACUGGGGCUGAAUGUGCAUAGAAUUAAUACUUCCAUAUUGGGGUGUGUGUGUGUGGUUGGAAUAAGGGAUAUUCCCAAAUGCCCCUGAUUUAACAACUCUUUUAGUAAACUGAGUUCAGAAAGUGGUUGGAGUGAGUUUGAGGUACCCUUAGGGAAUAUAAUAACUCACUCUGAGCUGCUCCAGAGGUGGAAUUUCUAUGUCUGCCUCAGAAAACAAAAAGAGGCACUGUGGUGUAAUGUGGAUUUCUUUCUAGCAAGAACUUUAAACAAGCUGUGUUACAUCACAACUGCCACCAGAGAACCCAGGAAUGAUUCUUCUGUGAGCACCAUCCAGAAAUGAAGCUACAAACAGAUCAAUCUAGUUUCUGUUUGAAGAAAGACUCCUGUCUCCAAGAAAGCAACUACCAUCAUUAGAUGCUGCAGUCACCAAGAAUUGCUCCCUCUGCUAUGGGAACACAUAAUGUCAGGAUAAUGAAAAAUGUAUAAGCCAAAGCUCUCUCUCUCUUUCUGCCAUUUUGGUUCUAGUCACCUUUUAAUGCAGAAGAAGGCAGAAAAACCUGGUGGAGAUGAAGAUUCACCCUGAGGGUAAGGGGGAAUCCACUUCUGCCAGUUAUAGAGAUUAUGAAUGACAUAAAUUUGUAAUUCUUAGUGGAAGAAUGUUUGAAAAAUGUGAUAUAUUAUCAUACAGUAUGAAAGAGUAUGCUCAAUACAUAUUAGAAAAAUCUAGUUAGAUCACCACAUAAGAGGGAUUUGAAGUCUGUACAAUUACUACACUAAACCCAAGAAGGAAGACAUCUGAUGACUAGCCAACAUAAAUAAACGAUGUCUUUUUAUAACCUGAGGACUAUUAUGGCAUUAAGAGGUGGCCAUAUUAGGUGCUACCAGAGUUAACUCUAAAUACCUUUUCCUGUGGAGACAGAUAAAUACCUCAUUUACAAAUAAGCCAACACAGAAAGUGAUUGCUCAGUUGGAAUCGUCUUUUAGGACUAACAUAUAAGUGACAGAGUGUCCAAGGAAAUUUUAGAAACACUCAAAACUAUUCAAAUUAACAAACAAUGAAAGAAAAAUAAUAGCUUCACUUCUCAGUAUGCCCCUCCCUCCAAAGACCAUGAACUUAUUAAAAAGGGAUUUAGGAUUAAACUGUCUUUCAGAUAGCUAGAUAAUAGCUUAAGAUAAAUGAAUUUUUACAUGCAACAGAAAAACAAAACCAGGUAUUUUACUUUAGCAUAGAGGUACAGAAGUGAUAUGUACAAGGUUAUCACUGUAGGUUUUGAGUGAUUCUUGUUUGCAUUUUGAAUGACUAGUAAUUCUUAGCUGUAGCUGUACCCUGCCAGAGCCCUAAUAUAAGUUCUGGUUGAAUGGGUUGUUUUUACUUGCUAAAUAAAAUUAAAAUGCUAGCCAGUAAUUCUCAUUAUUUUCUCCCUCUUUCUUGGAAACUGGCAGUUUUGCUGCAAAGCCCUCCUCAAGAUUAAGAUAAUAAUGCAACUACUAUUUUCUUCUUAAGAUAAAGAAAUUAAGAAAAGACAAUAGACAAAUCAGCAGCAAGUUUUUUAUAAAAGUAGAAGACACAUACAUAAACAUAUACCAACUUGCUUAUAAAGCCAGAGAUAUAUGUUAACUUAUACUAAAACAAAACUAGCAUCCACUGGAACAGUUUCCUCUUUGCCAGCUUGCCUAUAAAAUGUCAUUAUAGCUACUACAUUAAAAUCCUGAGCAAGUUGAGAAUUAACAAUUACUCUCUUAGUUUGCAAUUGGAGGAUUUAUUCCUAGAGAUAGAUAAUUGAUUUUAAAUGUGAAGCAAUUUCACUGGAUAUAUGAAUAUGUAAUUUAAAAAGCUUCUAUUUCUGGCUGUGAUAGAAUAAAUGGAAUGGAUUUGCUCUCCUACUUUAAGCAACUAGAAAACUGAACAAAAUACAUGAGACAGCGCUGGACAACAGGCAGCACUGGACUGUGAUCACUGCAAGAGGAGGAACAGAAAAGGUCAGUCCUCUCAUCACCCUGGCUUUCUGCCUGGAGGCAACUUCUGGAACACACAGCAAGGGAGGGGGAAUCCAAAUAGAGCCCAGAGGAAUCUGAGCGGACCACAGCAGACUAAGUUGAGGAGACAGAGGUGUAAGCACAGAGUAUCUGUAGGGCAGCUGGAAUUUGUAGGGCAAAGUACCACAGAAGAGAAAGCUACUUAAAAGUAGAGUUCCAGGAAUCUGUACUGGGGUCCCCUUGAUUGUACAUCAGAAUAAACAACUGUGUGUUCAUAGGGUGAAACUACACAAAGCCAGACAAAUAACAAUGAACAGGGAAAGUACAACUACUGAGAAUCUACAUUAUCAAAUGCCAGAGUUCACACAGGGUUAGGAGAUGUUUGAGUUCUGACCAACCAGAGUGAAGAGAACAUUCAGUACCCUCAAUGAACAUUCAGGGCAUUUAUCAGAGUCCCCAGAAGGGUCAUGCCUUAUCAGUAGGGCUAAACUAGCCUUAAGGCAAAUGUUUCUCUAGACCAGGGAUCAGCAAACUGAUCCUGUGGACCAAAUCCAGCCCACUGCCUGUAUUUUGUAUUUCAGUUUUAGUAGAACCCAGCCAUGGUCAUUAGUUUACAGUUGGCCCUCUGGUUCCACAUCUGCAGAUUUAGCCAACAGUGGAUCAAAAAUAUUUGGAAAAAAAAAAUCUAGACAGUUCCAAAAUGCAAGACUUGAAUUUGCUAUUUCCUGGCAACUAUUUACAUUUCAUUUACAACUAUUUACAUAGCAUUUACAUUGUAUUAGGUAUUAUAAAUAAUUUAGAGAUGACUUAAAGUAUAUAGGAGGAUGUGCUAGAUUAUAUGUAAAUACUAUGUCAUUUUAUAUAAAAGACUUGAGCAUCCACAGAUUUUGGUAUCUGUCAGGGGUCCUUAAACCAAUUCCUGUGCAUACCAAGGACUGAGGGUAUAUAUUGUCUACAGCUGCUCUUGCACUACAGUAGCAGAACUGAGGAACUGCAGCAAAGACCAUAUGGCCUGCAAAGUGUAAAAUAUUUGCAAUAUUUAAUUGCAAGGACUAAAAUAUUAGUCCUUUAAGAAAAAGUUUUGCUAACUGCUACUUUAGAGUCAUCCUAAUAAAGUUUAAAAACAAGUGUCAAAAGAAUCAAGUUUAUCUCCAAAAACUUAACUUUCUGUCAAAACAAACUUCAAUACUCUUAAAAAAAUUCAACAAAAUCUAGACAUUCAACAAUAAAGCAUUCACAAUGUGUAGCAUUCAAGAGGCAACAAGCAUGACCUAUAAUGAGGAAAAAUUCAA